CUGUAAGCCUGCGAAGGUGUGUCGUGAGGCAUGCUGGAGGUAUCAGAAGUGCGAAUGCUGACAUAAGUAACGAUAAAGCGGGUGAAAAGCCCGCUCGCCGGAAGACCAAGGGUUCCUGUCCAACGUUAAUCGGGGCAGGGUGAGUCGACCCCUAAGGCGAGGCCGAAAGGCGUAGUCGAUGGGAAACGGGUUAAUAUUCCCGUACUUGGUGUUACUGCGAAGGGGGGACGGAGAAGGCUAUGUUGGCCGGGCGACGGUUGUCCCGGU
rnacentral:rRNA from 1 species